GCUGUUUUGUGAAGUAGGCAACUCUGUAUUUUGGCAAUACAUUUGCAAUGAUCUCCUUUUGCUAAGAUUGAAUUGUAUUGAUCUCUUGGGCAGUGUCAAAGCAUUCUGCAAAUUCAUUGUGAUAAUUAUCUUUUGCUGUCAGUCAAAUGCCUUCUUCACCACUGGUUUUAAGAAAGAAGCCAAUCAGACUUGGUUGUGUCUAUAGCUUUUCCCUUCUCUUUCUAUUCCUUUUUGAGUGACAUUGCUCCUCCAUAUGCCCUAAGGUUUUAUUUUUGCUGCAGGCAAAGGGCUUCGACUAGUAAUUUUUCUAACAGUGGAUUCAAAACUAUGUUAGGUUAUUUAUCAAGCACUUCAAUGGAUUCAAAGCACUGUUAGAUUUGAGGUCUCAGAAGGGAAUUCAUGUUGAAACCAACUCUGUGGAGCUCAGACUGCCCUGGAAAAGUACAAGAUUGGUCUGUCAGUUGUGGUCAUUAGAAGCUUCAGAGAUGAAAUUUAACUGAGGUUAGCGAAGUCCUAAACAGUAAAGACUUGAGGUUUUGAGUUUGAGUCAUCUCAGGAUCUCACUGGAGGUUUGCCUAGCCAUUUUCUGUAAGGUUAUUGUGGUGGUGGGCUGGUAAAAUCGUCAAACUAAUUGAAAUACGCGCAAACUGACUUGGACACCCAGAUCUUCAAUAAAAAAAAAUGUCAAAUUAGUUUUGGUUCUUCAUUGUUGCAUUUGGUCAUGUUAUAAAGUGGUAUUGUUGGUUACAAUCAAAGUAGUCAUUGGUAAUAAUGCUCGAA